GGAGUUUCCCUCUUCCCUAAAGAUAGUCAAUCACACCCUCUAGUUCUACGACUUGUUUGUUUUGCUUGUAUGCUUUUAUUUAUUUAUUCUUUUUAUUUAUUUGGGCUUUUUAUUUAUUUACUUUUUAUUUUUAUUUUAUCCUUUCUGUUUUAUUACUAUAUAUUUGCAUGUCAUUCGUUGAGAUUUUUAUUUGUGAGAAGUUAAAACCCAAGCUUGGAGGAAAUACAUAAGUUAAGAUGUAGAAUCAUAGUGCUAACUGGUGAGAUGUGACACCUCUCAGGGGGCAUGAAAGCUACACUCAUAAUAGACCCCAUAAAUUUUUCUUCAUAGUAGAGUUAUCUUCUCACUACGCUGAUGAUUUAGAUGUGGUCCAUGACUCUGAGAAUCAUUAUCUAUAACCUACUUCACCCAUAGUGACCUUAUGUUAUCAACUGCGAGUGACGUUACUAAGGUCUCGCCUAGAUGAAACUU
rnacentral:lncRNA from 1 species